rnacentral:tRNA from 2 species
GCGGCUGUGGCGGAAUAGGCAGACGCGCACGGUUGAGGGCCGUGUGGGCGACCGUAUGGGUUCAAGUCCCAUCAGCCGCACCA